UUCAAGGACUUCCUGAAUUGGUAUUCUUUUUCUGUUCUUGUUAUUAACUUCAUCACAUUUCAAAUAUGCCACCUGCCGUUGUUUUCAUGUGUUUCACUGCGUUUUCAUGGGUGCUCCUGAGUUGUCCAGGUUAUGACUGUUCUGUGCCAAUCAUGACUGAAAGGGAAUGUCUGACUCACAAAGUAUGGGGUUUUUGCACUGACGAGGAAUGUGAUAUGACCAACGAAGGGCAUUCACUGCUAGGUUACUGCAAGGGAGGAAAAAACUGCUGUGCCAAAUGAAAUGAGAUGUCAAGUCGGAAACUGGAGAGAGCAGCUUUCCUCAGUUCGAGAAUAAUGAUGGUUUUCUCAAGAAUCACCAUCACUUGGGCAGCAGAAAAGGUUAUCGGCUCAAGACAACGGCUGUUCUACUGUGGAAAAAAAAUGGAUAGAAUUUUGAAUAAAUUCACCCAUUCCAUUCUUGAAUAAAGACUGUGUGCAUAAGGGGUGUCAGCAUAUGCCACUUCUAAAAUUUAUUUUACCUUGCAAAGUUCUGAAUAAUUGGAUGCUCCUCAUUGUUUCAGUGUUUAUUCCUGAUUUGUGAAACCGUUUUCUGCCCAGAUCUACAACUUCUGACACAUCAGAAAUUAGCUCUCUGUGAUUAGGAAAACCAUUAAUCUCUAGUGUUUUGGAAAUAGCUAGAUUUCACUUUGAUUUUCCCCCCAAUCAAACUUGCCAAUACAGAACUGAUCUGGCUGCCCCGCUUCCCA